CCUACGGGAGGCAGCAGUAAGGAAUAUUGGUCAAUGGACGCAAGUCUGAACCAGCCAUGCCGCGUGAAGGAUGAAGGUCCUCUGGAUUGUAAACUUCUUUUAUAUGGGACGAAAAAGGGGCUUUCUAGCUCAACUGACGGUACCAUUUGAAUAAGCACCGGCUAACUCCGUGCCAGCAGCCGCGGUAAUACGGAGGGUGCAAGCGUUAUCCGGAUUCACUGGGUUUAAAGGGUGCGUAGGUGGGUUGGUAAGUCAGUGGUGAAAUCCCCGAGCUUAACUCGGGAACUGCCAUUGAUACUAUCAGUCUUGAAUACCGUGGAGGUCAGCAGAAUAUGUCAUGUAGCGGUGAAAUGCUUAGAUAUGACAUAGAAUACCAAUUGCGAAGGCAGCUGGCUACCCGAAUAUUGACACUGAGGCACGAAAGCGUGGGGAUCAAACAGGAUUAGAUACCCUAGUAGUC
rnacentral:rRNA from 1 species